GAAAAAUUGUUCAACAAGGCAAAAAUGGUGAAUCCACCCGACGUUCGUCAAUAUAAUGGCAUUAACCGAAAGAUCUAAUAACAAAUGAUUACCCAAUGAGAUGACGAAAUGAUCAUCAAACUCAGAUUUUCGGACUUCAAAAACAGAGAUUCCAAUGAUGAAAAUGAAGCGGAUCACAAAGGAUCGAUAUCAUCGGUAUGGAGCACAAGUUAAUCGGUUGCAGAGAGGAAGCAAGCAGAGAAUUGAAUUUCGAUAUGAUUACCAAUUAAGCAGCAAAUCUUCCAUUUUCAA